UACGUAGGGGGCAAGCGUUGUCCGGAAUCAUUGGGCGUAAAGAGCGCGUAGGCGGUCCGGUAAGUCCGCUCUGAAAGUCCGGGGCUCAACCCCGGGAGGCGGGCGGAUACUGUUGGGCUAGAGUCCGGAAGAGGCGAGUGGAAUUCCUGGUGUAGCGGUGAAAUGCGCAGAUAUCAGGAGGAACACCGAUGGCGAAGGCAGCUCGCUGGGACGGUACUGACGCUGAGGCGCGAAAGCGUGGGGAGCAAACAGG
rnacentral:rRNA from 1 species